CCGAAGACAUACACUGGGGGUAUCGUUAUACUCAGCAGAUGUAGCUGAACACAAUAUGGGGUUCUGUGCAGGAAUAGCACACACCUGCUUUACAAAAAUACACAUUACUACCUCAACACACACAGCCCUAGGAACGGGUUGAGCGCACGCGGCGCAGGCAAAAUCCACUAUAGAUGUGAUAAAAAAGCGCUGCGACAUGUGACAAGUCCUAAAACAAGCAUCAGAAUAUGCACCACACUCAUCAAACAACACACACACCAGCCAGACCAUACACAGCACGCAC